rnacentral:rRNA from 1 species
GCCUCCCUCUUUCUUCGUGCCUAAUACAUGCAAGUCGAGCGAACAGACGAGGAGCUUGCUCCUCUGACGUUAGCGGCGGACGGGUGAGUAACACGUGGAUAACCUACCUAUAAGACUGGGAUAACUUCGGGAAACCGGAGCUAAUACCGGAUAAUAUAUUGAACCGCAUGGUUCAAUAGUGAAAGACGGUUUUGCUGUCACUUAUAGAUGGAUCCGCGCCGCAUUAGCUAGUUGGUAAGGUAACGGCUUACCAAGGCAACGAUGCGUAGCCGACCUGAGAGGGUGAUCGGCCACACUGGAACUGAGACACGGUCCAGACUCCUACGGGAGGCAGCAGUAGGGAAUCUUCCGCAAUGGGCGAAAGCUUGACGGAGCAACGCCGCGUGAGUGAUGAAGGUCUUCGGAUCGUAAAACUCUGUUAUUAGGGAAGAACAAAUGUGUAAGUAACUAUGCACGUCUUGACGGUACCUAAUCAGAAAGCCACGGCUAACUACGUG